rnacentral:rRNA from 1 species
UACGUAGGUGGCAAGCGUUGUCCGGAUUUACUGGGCGUAAAGGGCGCGUAGGCGGUUCGUUAAGUCCUGUGUGAAAUCCCCCGGCUCAACUGGGGAACUGCACAGGAAACUAGCGGGCUUGAGUUCGGGAGAGGGAAGCGGAAUUCCGGGUGUAGCGGUGAAAUGCGUAGAUAUCCGGAUGAACACCGGUGGCGAAGGCGGCUUCCUGGACCGACACUGACGCUGAGGCGCGAAAGCUAGGGGAGCAAACGGG